rfam:Sphingobacteriia bacterium RIFOXYD2_FTLL_35_12 rifoxyd2_full_scaffold_87, whole genome shotgun sequence.
GGGGCCGUUUUGGUUUUGACAGCAUAGGUUACGGUUGGUGUAAGCAUGCAGUGCGUUGGAUAAUUAGCACUUUAAUCUGAAUAUUCAACCAUUAAUUGGCAAUACUCAGUAUGCCAUGGCUGCUUAAUCAGUGAUUAAGUAACCAUUUGGGCCGCCGCACAGGUUCGCUUCUUUCCAUGUGCCGCCGCCGACUCAAAACAAAAGGAGAUGCUGCAAUAGUAGGCUGUGCCUAUUGCUUAAGAUUAUCCAGCUAAGUGAUGAAUUGGUUUGUUCUUUUCCGGUUCGUCGCCUACAACUAAUAAAGAAAUAAGCAUGUAGAAAGCUAAUGGUCACGAUGUUUGGACACCGGUUCGAGUCCGGUCGGCUCCACUA